GGUAAAACGACUCCAUUUUGCUAGUGGAAAACAAUCGGCCUCGUGGGUUGGCCGCUGUCGGCUAGUGGACGCUUUCUUCACCUUUCGGAUCUCCCGUUCUUGCAUUAUUGCUGCACCUUGAUUUGAAGAUGGGCUGAGCAACUAAAAGUCGUCUCUGCUCUGAUUCAAUUUGGGGAGAAAUGGAAGCUGCAGUGAGUUCUUCCCUGGGGGCCAUGGGUCCCCUUCUUAGGAAGCUAGAUCUGCUACUGGCUCCAGAAUAUCGCCUGCGGAAGCCACUGAGGGACGGAAUCGAGCUCCUUAAGGAAGAUCUACAAGAAAUAAGCUCCGACCUGGUGGAGCUAUCGACGCUGGAAGCUCCCACCCGGAGGGCCAAGUGCUGGAUGGAAGAGGCGCGGGAACUGUCCUACCUUAUCGAAGACUUCGUCGACGACAUGAUGAGAACGCGCUCAGACGCCGAUUCCAAGAUGAGAUCUGUCUUCCGGCAUAGGGUUGGUCGCGUUAAGAUUGCUCAGCUUCCCGAGCCGCCGAGGCGCAGCACAAGGAUUGCCAGGAUCACCCAACUGAGGGCUCUACUGCAACAGGCGAGCGAGCGGCCCGAAAGGUACCCGCUUGACGCUUGUUGCUCCAGCUCCAGCUCCAGCUCCAGCCAUAUGAUUACCGGGCACGGGCGAGCACCGACCUUAUAUGGAGAUUCGGCCAAUCUUUUCGGAAUCGAGGACUCCAGGGUCAAACUAAUUGAGAUGCUUACUGUGGAAACAGAGCAGCGACUGAAAGUGGUCUCCAUUGUUGGACCUGCAGGAGUUGGUAAGACAACUCUUGCUAAAGAAAUUUUCCAUGAACUAGGGGGCCAAUUUGAGUUGCGAGCAUUUGUACGUGCAUCACGAAAGCUUGACAUGAGAAGGCUUCUUGGGAGCAUUCUCUCCCAAUUUGGGAAACUACCCUCUGUUUCCGGUUCUGUGCAAACCCUCAUUGACAAUAUUCAGGAACAGCUCAAAGAUAAGAGGUGCUUCGUUGUAAUUGAUGAUUUAUGGGAAGAAACAUCAUGGGACAUUGUAAGCGCUGCUUUCCCCGAGAGUAAUAAUUGCAGUAGAAUUGUAGCAACUACAGAAAAGAUGAAUGUGGCUCUCAAGUCCUGUGGUUAUAUGCCUGAUAAUAUUUUGAAGAUGAAAUCUCUUGGCAUCCAAGACUCUGCAAACUUAUUCUUCAAUCAAGUUUUUGGCUCUGAACAACAAUGCCCUGAUGAAUUGAAGGAAGUUUCAUAUGGUAUUAUUAGAAAAUGUGGUGGUCUUCCACUGGCCCUCAUAAAUUUAUCUGCUCUUUUAGCAAGCCGAUUAGACUACUCAGAGAUAUGGUACCAUGUGCAUGAUUGUUUAUGCUCCAUUCUGAAUAGAAGUCAUACAAUUGAAGAGAUCCAGACAAAAAUAUUGAACCUGAGUUACAAUAGUCUUCCUCGUUGUUUGAAAACUUGCCUGCUAUAUUUCAAUAUGUACCCAGAGGGUUACAUAGUGUGGAAGGUUCAUGCCGUGAAGCAAUGGAUAGCAGAAGGUUUUAUCAAUGCAACGGAAGGAAAAGAUACAGAAGAAAUUGCAGAGGGCUAUUUUGACGAGCUUGUCAACAGGGGAAUGAUCCAACCUAUGGAACUUGGAGACAGUAAUGAGGUAUUGUCCUGUACAGUGCACCAUAUUAUACUUGAUCUUAUUUCUCAUAAUUCCAAGGAAGACGAAUUUCUUGCUGCAAUAGAUUACUCUCAAACUAUAACAGGACUAUCUCCGAAAGCCCAUCGACUAUCCUUCCGAUUCAGUACUGCCAAAUAUGCAAAGCAACCAGCAGGAAUAACAAUGCCACAAUUACGAUCGCUUGGUUUCUUUGGAGUCCAUAAAUGUAUGCCUUCAAUUGUGGAAUUCAAGCAUCUCCGAGUUCUAAUCCUCGAUUGUUGGGGCGAUCAUGAUGGACAUAUGAGUUUGAACCUCUCACGAAUUUGCAGAUUAUUUCAGCUGAAAUAUCUGAAGAUUUCAAGUGAUGUCAUGGUUGAACUACCAGCCCAGAUGCAAGGUUUACAUUAUUUGGAGACUAUGGAAAUAGAUGCAAGAAUAUCUUCAGUUCCAUCAGAUAUUGUCCAUCUUCCGAGUUUGCUGCAUCUUGGUCUCCAAGAUGCAACAAAGCUACCGGAUGGGAUUGGCCGCAUGAAGUCUUUACGUACACUGUGGUAUUUCGACCUCGGACAUAACUCUGAACACAAUAUGCGGAGCCUAGGGAAGCUGACAAAUCUCCAGCAUCUUCAUCUAUCCUGUUUUGCAACUCUGUCUGGUGGCCAACUGAAGAGAAAGCUGGCACCUCUAGUUUCUUCACUUGGGAAAUUCAGCAAUCUCAAAUCUCUCACCCUGAAUCCGGAUGCCUUAAGUUCAGCCAUUUUCUUUGAUGUCUCAUUCGGUAUCUCCUCUCCUCCCAUGUUGCUUCAGAGACUUGAGUUGUUGCCACCAAUUUGCUUCUUUGCCAGACUUCCAACUUGGAUUGGUGAACGGCACAAACUCCGCAUUUUAAAAAUCGUAGUUAAAGAACUGCAGGGGAAUGAUAUCAAUAACAUUGCCUUAUUACCUUCCCUCGUAGUGCUCUCACUGUAUAUACGAACACCUCCAACUGGACCCAUCAUCUUUAGCAACAUGGCAUUCCCAGCUCUCAAGCAUUUCAAAUUCACAUGCGGUGCGAUGAGCUUAGCUUUUCAUGCUGGAGCCAUGCCCAAUCUUCAGAGGCUUAAGCUUUGUUUCAAUGCCCACAGACUUGAGAGCCAUUACCGAGUGCUCAAUGGCAUUGAGCACCUGUUAAACCUUCAGGAGGUCACUGGACAAAUUGGGGACCUUCAAGGUGCUGACAAAUUGGACAGGAUGGUUGCCAAGUUAUCAUUUGAGAACACCAUUAGAAAACAUCCAAGGUGUCCUAGAUUCAACAUACAAUUUGUAGAUUUCAUAGAGGAGGAUUUUCUUCCUUUAGAUAAGUUGCAUUGGAGGGAAAAGGAAGGUUCAUCAGGUGAACAUGAGAUUAAAGAGAAAGACUGCACAGAAGGUACAAACAAACACGCUGAUAGCAGGUUGUCAGAAACAAGUAGUACUCUUCCCGGCCGAACAGUAGCAAUUGAAUCUCGGGAACAAAGUCAUGUCGUAGCAGGAGGGCGUACCUUCACAAAUAAUCAGGCUUUGGAGCAUCCCCGAUUGUCUGAAACCUCAGUUUCACCAAGGAAAGAAAUUCACCUUCAAAAUUUGGAUCUUGCAAAUGAUCGAACUACGUAUUGUCGUGGUCGGAAAUCAACAGAAAUUAUGUUCAGUACACAAGUGCCAUGCUCUCCCCCUAGCUCAAGAGCACAUCACUAUUCAACCUCCCCUGUUCCAUCAAGAACAUUUGGGCAAUGCCAAGCAUCUCCUACUGCAUGGCAGGAUGAUUCGCAAAGCUCAAGCUCACCUCAACCUCUUCCGCUUCCUCCAGGCUCCCCAUCCUUGCCUUCCCGUUCUCUACAGUGGAAGAAGGGGAAGUUGCUCGGUAGUGGGACCUUUGGACAAGUAUAUCUGGGAUUCAACAGUGAAGGUGGACAAAUGUGUGCAAUUAAAGAGGUUAAGGUCAUUUCUGAUGAUUCUAACUCAAAAGAGUGUCUCAGGCAGCUAAAUCAGGAAAUUGUGCUGCUGAGUCAGCUGUCACAUCCAAACAUUGUGCAGUACUAUGGCAGUGAUCUGUCUAAUGAGACACUCUCAGUCUAUCUCGAAUAUGUUUCUGGGGGCUCUAUCCACAAGUUACUUCAAAAAAAUGGUCCAUUCGGGGAGGCAGUUCUUCGGAGUUACACAGCACAAAUCCUUUCUGGCCUUGCAUACUUGCAUGGGCGGAAUACAGUGCAUAGGGAUAUCAAAGGGGCAAACAUACUCGUCGAUCCUAAUGGUGAUAUCAAACUUGCCGACUUUGGUAUGGCCAAGCAUAUAUCAGCGUAUACAGAUAUCAGAUCAUUCAAAGGGAGCCCAUACUGGAUGGCACCAGAGGUUAUUAUGAAUAGUAAUGGCUACAGCCUUUCAGUUGAUAUUUGGAGCCUUGGCUGCACCAUUCUUGAGAUGGCAGCAGCAAAACCUCCCUGGAGUCAGUACGAAGGGGUGGCUGCAAUAUUUAAGAUUGGGAAUAGCAAAGACACACCUGAUAUCCCAGAUCAUCUUUCUCCCGAGGCGAAAAGCUUUCUGAAACUCUGUUUUCAGCGUGAUCCUGCUGCCCGCCCUACAGCUGCUCAGCUAAUGGAUCAUCCUUUUGUCAAGGACCAUGCUACACUUCGGAGUUCCAGAUCUGGCACCACAAGGGAUGUGUUUUCUACUUCAACCGAGGGGAAAAACACCAUGAGAGUAGGUGUUCCACAAGGAGCUGUGGGUUGGCAAGGACCCCCACAAAGUCCCUCUUCUUACAUUGUCAAGAAGAUUUUGCGGUUGGAAGUGCCAACAGAUACAUACCCUAAUUUCAAUUUUAUUGGCCGCCUUCUUGGCCCAAGGGGAAACUCUUUGAAGAGGAUUGAAGCCUCUACAGGUUGUCGUGUUUUCAUCAGAGGGAAAGGCUCAAUCAAAGAUUCUGGCAAGGAGGAACAACUUAAGGGAAGACCUGGCUAUGAACACUUGAGUGAGCCCCUCCAUAUCUUGAUUGAAGCUGAGUUGCCUGCUAAUGUGAUCGAUUCUAGACUUGCAAAGGCACAAGAGAUCCUUGAAGAGUUAUUAAAGCCAGAGGAUGAAUCACAAGACUGCUACAACAGACAGCAACUCCGGGAACUUGCCAUGUUAAAUUCGCCCCUCCGAGAGGAGAGCCCGCAUCCAGGUGGUGCUCCUCUGGCCUUCAUCAACCAAUGCGAGUCCUACUUCAUCCGGGAACGCAUCAUGGAGGAAGAAAAGAGAGUAGGUGUUCCACAAGGAGCUGUGGGUUGGCAAGGACCCCCACAAAGUCCCUCUUCUUACAUUGUCAAGAAGAUUUUGCGGUUGGAAGUGCCAACAGAUACAUACCCUAAUUUCAAUUUUAUUGGCCACCUUCUUGGCCCAAGGGGAAACUCUUUGAAGAGGAUUGAAGCCUCUACAGGUUGUCGUGUUUUCAUCAGAGGGAAAGGCUCAAUCAAAGAUUCUGGCAAGGAGGAACAACUUAAGGGAAGACCUGGCUAUGAACACUUGAGUGAGCCCCUCCAUAUCUUGAUUGAAGCUGAGUUGCCUGCUAAUGUGAUCGAUUCUAGACUUGCAAAGGCACAAGAGAUCCUUGAAGAGUUAUUAAAGCCAGAGGAUGAAUCACAAGACUACUACAAGAGACAGCAACUCCGGGAACUUGCCAUGUUAAAUUCGCCCCUCCGAGAGGAGAGCCCGCAUCCAGGUGGUGCUCCAGCAACUCCAACAGUCCAUGCCUUCACACCCUAAUUUUUCAUGAGCAAGCUUUCAUGACAGUGUUGGCAGUGCGCGACAUCCUUUACUGUACUAGCAGAAGGGGAGCGGAGGCGCGCUAUGGUGGAGGUUAUAAUGCCCGAAGCAGAUGCACGCAGUGCUGGUGGGAGUGGUGACGCUGCCGACCGUCCUUCAGUGGUUGCCUCCACUGGUGUUGUUGGUUCUUCUUCCUCAACUGCUGCAGAUUCUGCAGCAUAUGCUGAGAAGGCUAUAGCAAAACUGCCGUCGCACCUUGCUGCGGAAGCCGUCGAUCCGAAGAGGAAGGCAAAAUCCAAAGACCCGGGAUGGAAAUUUGGGUGGUGGCCUGAUCCAACAAAGAAGGACUUUGUGAAGUGCAUAUUUUGCCAGAAAACUAUUCCUGCCGAAAUCAAAAGGUUUAAGCAGCACCUUUCUAGUGGGAGUGCUGAUUGCAUCAAAUGUGAACAUGUGCCCGAAUUAGUUUCGAGAGAGAUGGAUGCUUACUUGAAGAAGAAUGCACGGACUGUGGUUGUGUCAAUGCCAUCGGAUGAAGAAGGUGAUGAAGAAGCUGAUGGAGAAGGUGAACUUGAACCUGAACCACAAGUUGCAAAACCAAGUUGUGGGACAAAGGUGAAGCAAGCAAAGAAGAGAAUUGUUCAAUCGGGCAUAACAUCAUUUGUUGUUGCUGCACCAACAAAUCCACAAACUCAAAAGCACUCAAGGUCAGUGAGUUCAUUGCUUUGCAAGUCCCCGGAAGUAGUGGUGGCAGAGAGGCAUAAAUCCAAAACCUCUCAAUCUACUCUUGAGCAUUGCACCAAAAAAGGGAAGGAGGCCAAACAAAUUGUUGAUGACCAUGUCGCUGAUUUUUUUUUUGAGAAUAAUAUUCCAUUGAACGUCAUCAACUCAAGAAGUUGGGAGAUAUUGCUCGAGUCCAUUGGGCAGUGUGGUCCGGGGUACCGCUCUCCAUCAUAUCAUGAGAUGAGGUGUCCUUUGCUUGACAGGGGUGUGGACGGGACAGCAACAUUGAGGAAGAAGCAUGAGGAGGCUUGGAAGGAAUAUGGGUGGUCACUUAUGUCCGAUGGGUGGACCGACACAAGGCAACGUCAUUUGAUCAAUUUUCUUGCCAACAGUCCAGCAGGCACCUUCUUUCUUGGUUCUGUUGACGCUUCAAGUCAAGUUGCAAAUGCAACAAUGUUGGCAGAUUUGUUGCAGAAGGAAAUUGAAAAGGUUGGGAAGGAACAUGUAGUGCAAAUAAUCACAGACAAUGGAGCUAACUUCAAGGCAGCUGGGAGGAUUCUUAUGGAAAGGAUUCCACAUUUGUUUUGGACACCUUGUGCUGCCUACUGCUUGGAUCUGUUGCUGGAGGACAUUGGUAAGAUCAAGGAGUUCAAAACUUGCAUCAAUAAUGCAAGGAAGGUGUCCAGAUUCAUCUACAAGCAUGGGAGAUUUAUUGACCAAAUGAGAGAGAAGAUAAGUGGAGAUCUUGUGAGGCCAGCUGUGACUCGCUUUGCUACCUCUUUUCUCACUUUGGCAAGUAUGCAUAUGAACAAGAAUGGUUUGAGAAAUUUAUUUGUUAGUGAUGAAUGGCAUAAUACUAAGUUCUCCAAUACUACAAAAUCUCCAAUACUACAAAAGGAAAACAAGUGGAGCAUGUUGUUCUUUCAAUGCCAUUUUGGAAAAAUAUUGAAGAUUGCCUAAGAGCUUCACAACCACUUCUUGUUGCUCUAAGGAUAGCAGAUGGAGAUGAGACACCAGCGGCUCCUGAGAUCAUGGCUGCCAUGGAUGUGGCAAGAAACACCAUAAAGGAAUCUUUGAAGCACAAUCCAAGAUUACUUGCUGAGGUACUAGAAUACUAUGGGAAGAGAUGGGAAAACCAGAUGGAGCAAAAACUCUAUGGGGCUGCCCUAUACUUGAAUCCAGCCAAGUUCUUUGCCAUAAGGGACCAAGACAGGAGACAAGCUGCAAGACCAAGAUCCAUGUUUAAUGAUGUUUUGUGGAAGAUGAUAAGUGAUGAGGAUGAACAAACAAAGAUUAGUAAGCAAGCUGAUGACUAUGAAAGGUCCGAAGGAGAUUGCUUCUCAAAGCAAGGAGCAAUAAGAGAUAGAGAUAAAAAAAAAAUCCUAUUUGUUGGUGGGGUUCAUAUGGUGGCCUAGCAUUCGAGCUCCAAAGUUUAGCAAAAAGGAUUAUUAGCCUUUAUUGUUCUGCAUCUGGGUGUGAACGUAACUGGAGUGUGUUUUCUAAUAUCCAUACCAAAAAGAGAAACAGGUUGGAGCACAAAAGGUUGAACAAGUUGGUGUAUGUUAGCUACAACCGGAAGAUGGAAAAUAGGUUUCAAAAAAUUAGAGAACUUGGUUCCAAAGGAAAGAAAAGCAACCCUCUCUUGCUUGACGAAUUUCAAUGGGACAAUGAAUGGGUCUGUGAAAGUGAUCCUGUUCAUGAAGGUGAUGAUGGUAAUAUUACUUGGAGCAACGUGGAUGAAGCUAUCGGUGCGACGGAAGGUCUCCAAGGUCGACACUUCCCUAGGGCUGCUGCUGCUCAUGCAAGUUCUAGCGCUGCCUCUGGUAGGAUGAUGACAUAUGUUUCUAAGAAGCGUCCAAGGAACCAACCAACUCCAACUCCAGUUAUCCCUGAAGAUGAUGACGGUGAUGAACAAGAUGAAGCAAUGGAGGAGGAUGACGAUUCUGCUGCUGCUGGAACUGAAGAGGAUGCAGGCUUCCAUUUGAAUGAUGAUUUACUAGAGUAGAGAUUAGAGAUUUAUCAUAAGCCUGGCCUAGUUGGCUUUUGUUAUGUAUUGAACUAUGUUUUUGGCUUUGUGUUGGACCUGGACCAUUGUUGCUUUAUCCUUCAUUGCUUCUUUAUUAGUUUGGUUUUGUACUUGUUGCUGCUGGCCUGCUACUGUGAUGCAUAAUUCAAUUUAUUGACUGUCAUAUAGUGCUCUAACUUGUUAAUUCUUUGUUAUUCCAGCUUCAACAGGACAACAACAAGUCAGCAACAAUAUGGAGUUUGCAAAGAGGAUCAGGAGCUAUGGAGUAUGGAUUAUGGAGGAUAAGGAACCAAUUUCAAGUAUUGACUCCAUAGCAGCAGAUCUGAAGGAGAACAAGAUGAUCAUCAUAGGCGAAAUGGAUGCUGUUGCAAUUGCAAAGAAGUUAAAGAAGAUUAGGAAGAUUGACAUUGUGUCCAUUGGACCUGCAAAGGAAGAAAAGAAGAAAAGAAAGAGGAGAAAAAAGAAGAAAAGAAAGAAGAGAAGAAAGAAGAGAAGAAUGAGAAGAAAGAAGAGAAGAAAUGAUAAAAUAUAAAGCAUAAUAUCAUUGUGUGACCUCUCUCUUAUCUGCAGUUGCAAUAGCUUUGAGCCUUUGACUUUGUACUGAUGUUUCUAUGUGAAGUUACCAUGUAAAAAUUAUACAACAGAGUACAAAUUAGUUAAAAAUAAAAGCACGAUUUGUGCAUCUCUUUAGCAA